rnacentral:rRNA from 1 species
CCUACGGGGAGCUGCAGUGGGGAAUAUUGCGCAAUGGGCGAAAGCCUGACGCAGCGACGCCGCGUGAGGGAUGAAGGUCUUCGGAUCGUAAACCUCUGUCAGCAGGGAAGAACGGUCACUGUGCUAAUCAGCAGUGAAUUGACGGUACCUGCAAAGGAAGCACCGGCUAACUCCGUGCCAGCCGCCGCGGUAAUACGGAGGGUGCGAGCGUUAAUCGGAAUUACUGGGCGUAAAGCGCUCGUAGGUGGUAUGUCAAGUCAAGGGUGAAAUCCCCGCGCUCAACGUGGGAACUGCCUUUGAAACUGGCAAACUGGAGUGUGUGAGAGGAUAGUGGAAUUCCAGGUGUAGGAGUGAAAUCCGUAGAUAUCUGGAGGAACAUCAGUGGCGAAGGCGACUAUCUGGCACAUAACUGACGCUGAGGAGCGAAAGCGUGGGUAGCAAACAGGAUUAGAUACCCCUGUAGUC